UGUUAGUCAAUGUCAAAAACGUCCAACAGUAAAAUAAAAAAAAUACAUAACUAUAUUUAAUUUUCAUCAACAAAGUUACCAAUUUUAAAGUGAUGCGUAGGGAAUUCAUCAUAGUUUUCCUAGGAAUAAUUUGUAUAUCGACAUUGUCGUCAUUAUUGAAUGGUUAUACACAAAUUGAGACCGACAAAGUGCUACUAGAUACCGUAGUAGGCGCAGUGGGAGCGGGAAAUUUUUCUUAUUGGCAAUUAGGGCACACGGGCCCUCUUCUGGUUGAGCUCACGUCUCUAUCUGGUGAUGCAGACCUUUACGUAUCAGACACUGUGAGGCCUAGCUUUGAGACGGACAAGAACAACUUCAGUUCGGCGACAUGUGGACCUGAUAUGGUGAAUAUACCUGUUGACUUCCCCAGGCCAGUUGGUAUUGGUGUCUUUGGCCACUGGUCACAUAUACUGUCGGAGUACAGCAUCCAGGUGUUUCUGGACACCACAGCGGUGCUGAGCGAGGAACAGGUCCUAGCUAUAGAGCGGGCUCAUAUGAACAGUGCUGAGAGACCUGAUUCAGACAAGAGAAGAGAGAAAGCCGUGCCAAAAAAAGCAGAUGAAGACAAACCGAGAUUUUUAAAGUUGUUGAACAUUCUGGACAUGAUAUUCGAAGCUUUUGUCCUGUGAUAAACGUCCAACAAAUAGCAAACAUUCGGAUGACAUCAGCCAUUAUUAUGUCAUGAUCUUCCAAGCCCCCUUAUAAAAAGGCAGUUGUGGAAGUACCUGCUGCAACCAUAAUGCUAUUAUAUAAUUAUUAUGUACCAGUGUAAAAUGUAGGUAUAAUCAUCUAGUCAAUAUUAUACUAUUAAGUUUUCA
rnacentral:misc_RNA from 1 species